rnacentral:lncRNA from 1 species
GACGUCGUGGAGGCAGAGCUGUCAGCAACCGCGAGGCCGUUUGUACUUGGCCCGGCCAGGCUGACUCCCGUGACAGACAGGGGCGGGGGCUGAGGGGCCGCCUGUCCCGAAGCCCCUUACGUGGGCAUCUCGCAUUCUCCUGCUUUGGGCUCCGCUCUGGACCCAGCGACGGCGGCGAGUCCAGGUGCUGCGCGGCCCGGGAGUUGCCAGCCCCGGACGCGAUGGCUCCCGUGAGGAGUGGGGUGGGAGGUGGCCGAGGGCUAGGCGAGCCCCUCGCGCCCGGAGAGUUAUGAGCGGGGCAAAGGACCGCAGCAUCAGCCCAAGCCGCAGCCUCGGCCGGCGCCUCCCGCGGGCCCUCGCCAACUCGCCCCCGCGCACCAUGCCGACCCCCGGCCGGCUGAGCCCGCCGCGCAGUCCCUGCUUCCUCCCUGACCCCCGCUAACCCCCAGGGGACUGGUUUUGGCCGCCAGGGUAGCUCCCCAGGCCGCUCCCCCGGAGAGGCGGAACCGCGGGGCGAGCGGAGCCCCGGCUCAGCCCUUCGCUCUCCAGCCGCGUCCCCCUCCCGGCCGCCCGGCGCGCCCGCGGCGAUGGGGGCGCUGCUGGCGCUCUGCCUCCUCUUGGGCUGGCUACGCGCGGGCCCGGCGGGCGCCCAGCAGCCCGCAGAGUACUGCCACGGCUGGGUGGACGUGCAGGGCAACUACCACGAGGGUUUCCAGUGCCCGGAGGACUUCGACACGCUGGACGCCACCAUCUGCUGCGGCUCCUGCGCGCUGCGCUACUGCUGCGCGGCGGCCGACGCCAGGCUGGAGCAGGGCGGCUGCACCAACGACCGCGGCGAGCUGGAGCACCCGGGCAUCACGGCGCAGCCUGUCUACGUUCCCUUCCUGAUUGUUGGCUCCAUCUUCAUUGCCUUCAUCAUCCUAGGCUCUUUAGUGGCUAUUUAUUGCUGCACCUGCUUGAGACCUAAGGAACCCUCGCAGCAGCCAAUCCGCUUCUCACUCCGCAGCUAUCAGACAGAGACUCUCCCCAUGAUCUUGACUUCUACGAACCUCAGGGCACCUUCCAGGCAGUCCAGCACGGCCACCAGCUCCAGCUCCACUGGGGGCUCCAUCCGAAGGUUCUCCUUUGCCCGGGCAGAACCAGGCUGCCUGGUGCCCUCACCACCCCCACCUUACACCACAGGCCACCCAAUCCACUUGACCCAGCCGUCUGGAUUCCUGGUGUCACCCCAGUACUUCACUUACCCGCUCCAGCAGGAGCCCCCGCUGCCCGGGAAGAGCUGUCCAGACUUCAGUUCCAGUUGACAGGCCACGGCCACAGAUCCAUCAUCUAGUGCAAUGGCACACCUGGGGAUGCUGCUGCCAUGGCCACCAGGAGCCCCAGCAGAAUUCCACCCGGACCAGCAACGUCAUGGAGGAGAGCGCAAGGAAGAUGCAGCGCCUCUUAGUCUUGAGGUUCCUGGCUGCAGUCACAGAACGGCUGUAUGAGGAAAAUUGCUUUCUGGCUUUGAAAGCAUGGUGACUGUUACAUUUCAACUUAUGCUACU